rnacentral:tRNA from 1 species
GGGGCUGUGGUUCAGUGGUAGAGCAUCAGCUUUGUAUGCAGAAGGCCCCAGGUUCAGUCCCCAGAAUCUCCA